GCAGUAGCUCAGUCCAUAGGGACUUGGGUUUGGAACCGGAGGGUCGUCUGUUCAAGUCCCCGUCCGGACCAAAAAUAUGGAGCGUGGACUGGUGGCUGGAGAGGUGCCAGUUCACCUCCUGGGCACUGCCGAGGUGCCCUUGAGCAAGGCACUGAACCCCCCAACCGCUCGGGGCGCCUCACCAAGGGCAGCCCCCUCACUCUGAGAUCUCUCCACUUUGUGCAUGUAUAGGUCCUGUUUGUGCAUGUGUGUGUCUUUCAGACCUGUGUGUAAUUGACAAGCAAGAGUGAAAACAUUGAAUUUCUCCUCAGGGGGAUUAAUAAAGUAAAUAAACUUAAACUUAACUUAACUUAAA